GAAGUCGAAAAGAUAGUUUACAAUCAUUACGUGCAAUAUCGCAGAUCCACCAUCAGAAAUCAGUAAUAUUAGAAUAAAAUUCAUAUUGGAUUAAAAGAGGGGUCAAGUUGGGGUUAGCACCAAAUUUUCAAAUUUAG